rnacentral:misc_RNA from 1 species
UUAACUUAUUAAGUUUUUUAUUCAGAUUGACAAAAAUUAACAAUAGUUUAGUAGUCCACCGGCGGCCGCCUCCGUGAAGAGGACUGCCGCCGAGGCAACAGUGGUAAGUUCACAAUGGUUUGGAGUUAAAAACUCAGUAAUGAUCCCUCCGCAGGUUCACCUACGGAGA